CCCUUAGAUGUUCUGGGCCGCACGCGCGCUACACUGACGGAUUCAAAGAGCUUACAACCUUGGCCGAAAGGUCUGGGUAAUCUCCAAAAUCCGUCGUGAUGGGGAUAGAUUAUUGCAAUUAUUAAUCUUCAACGAGGAAUGCCUAGUAAGCGCAAGUCAUCAGCUUGCGUUGAUUACGUCCCUGCCCUUUGUACACACCGCCCGUCGCUCCUACCGAUUGAAUGGUCCGGUGAAGCGUUUGGACUAUGGUUUUCUGAUGGUCCGCCGUUGGAUUACCGUGGGAAGUUCGUUAAACCUUAUCAUUUAGAGGAAGGAGAAGUCGUAACA
rnacentral:rRNA from 1 species